GGAUUGUGGCUCAGUGGUAGAGUGCUUUCCUAGCAUAUGUGAGGCACUGGGUUCAAUCCUCAGCACCA
rnacentral:tRNA from 1 species